GUCAAGAUGCAGGUUUCCCGCGGUUAGACGGAAAGACCCCGUGCACCUUUACUACAGCUUCGCACUGGCAUCAGGAUUGUGAUGUGCAGGAUAGGUGGUAGGCUUCGAAGCAGGGACGCCAGUCUCUGUGGAGCCUCCCUUGAGAUACCACCCUUGUUCUGCUUGAUGUCUAACCGCGGUCCGUUAUCCGGAUCCGGGACCCUGCGUGGCGGGUAGUUUGACUGGGGCGGUCGCCUCC
rnacentral:rRNA from 10 species